ACGAAAAGCGCGCUCACAAUGUCUAUCUGAGAAAGCAUUUCACAAGCGUGACAUGUUGACACUUUAUUUCCACACAUUUCCUGCAAGUGAGCCGCUCACUUUAUCUUCCUCGUUUUGACUUCCCCUUUGUAGUCUAAAUGCUGAGAGCAAAUGACACUGUCAGCUCUUAGUAGUCAAAGGUGGGAGCAGCGAGAGCCAUCGGCCAUCAGAAGCAACGGCCACACACUGCAGGUGUCAAGACAGAAGAGGAUUUAUUCAUGCCUCCUGGCUGCUCAUUCAGACUCCACACUGAUGCGUCCAGAAGCUACAAACAACCGAGGCAGAUCUCAGAACUAAAACACAGGACGCCUGUCAGAAUGUUUUCAAAGCAUACAAAGAUUGAGCCCAAAAAAUUGUCAUAAUCACAGCUGGUGAAUAUUUACUGUCACUCAGCUGACAUUAAAAUGUGAUUUUGGAAAUGACCUUAAAAAAACAGGAAACAA